GUCAGGCAUGGUGGUGCGUGCCUGUAGUCCCAGCUACUCAGAAGGCUGAGGCAGGAGAAUUGCUCGAACCUGGGAGGCAGAAGUUGCAGUGAGCCAAGAUCGCGCCAUUGCACUCUAGCCUGGGAGACAGGAGCGAGACUCCAUCACAAAACAAAACAACCUUCUUUUUUUUGAGACGGAAUUUCACACUUGUUUUCCAGGCUGGAGUGCAAUGGCGCGAUUUCAGCUCACUGCAACCUCUGCAUCCCGGGUUCAAGAGAUUCUCCUGUCUCAG
rnacentral:SRP_RNA from 1 species